AAGAAUACGAGAAAUAGUAUAACUGAUUCUCCUAUACUUGUGGCUUUAUAAUGUCCGUGGCUUUAAUCUAGUUAGAUCAUGUUAUUAUAUUACUGAUUCACCUCUGCAUACGCUUUUCUCUCCUCUCAAAAUCCUCAUCUUCAUCUUUGUUUCUUUCAAUUUCUUUAUCAGUUUAAAGUCAUUGUAUGUGUUUCUUCUUAUGAAGAACUUCAAACAACAACUGGAAUUUUCUACUCAGCCAAAUCUGAUUGAAAUUUCUUAGAGGAUCAGGGGCAUCUAAAAAGUAUUGAUGGAGAUGAAGUUGAUUCAAAAAUGGAGGAAGAAUAGAAGUCCGAAGGAUAUUGAUUGAUUGAGAGUUCUACAAUGAACAAGAAGAAAUCAAGAAGAAGGAUCUCAAUAUUUUAACUUUUAUGGCAAAUUUUGUUUAAGCAUUGAAUUUUUUUUUCUCUUACUUUUUAACUUGUAAGAUUAUAUUUUCAAAAUAAAAAAUAAAAAUGUUAAUGUUAAUAAAAA